UACGUAGGGUGCAAGCGUUGUCCGGAAUUAUUGGGCGUAAAGAGCUCGUAGGCGGUUUGUCGCGUCGAAUGUGAAAACCCGGGGCUCAACCCCGGGCCUGCAUUCGAUACGGGCAGACUAGAGUUCGGUAGGGGAGUCUGGAAUUCCUGGUGUAGCGGUGAAAUGCGCAGAUAUCAGGAGGAACGCCGGUGGCGAAGGCGGGACUCUGGGCCGAUACUGACGCUGAGGAGCGAAAGCGUGGGGAGCGAACAGG
rnacentral:rRNA from 1 species